AGAUUGAACGCUGGCGGCAUGCCUUACACAUGCAAGUCGAACGGCAGCACGGGGGCAACCCUGGUGGCGAGUGGCGAACGGGUGAGUAACAUAUCGGAACGUGCCCUGGAGUGGGGGAUAACUAGUCGAAAGAUUAGCUAAUACCGCAUACGAUCUACGGGAUGAAAGUGGGGGAUCGCAAGACCUCAUGCUCGUGAGCGGCGAUAUCUGAUUAGCUAGUUGGUGGGUAAAGGCUACCAAGGCAUCGAUCAGUAGCUGGUCUGAGAGGACGACAGGCCACGACUGGGGACUGGAGACCACGGCCCGAGACUCCUACGGGAGGCCGAGUCGAAGUGGGGGAAUUUUGGACAAGUGGGCGCAAGCCUGACUCGA
rnacentral:rRNA from 1 species